UACAGAGGGUGCGAGCGUUGUCCGGAAUCACUGGGCGGAAAGGGCGCGUAGGUGGCCCGACAAGGCACUGGGGAAAGCUCGAUGCUCAACAUCGAGUCGGCCAGUGAUACUGUUGGGCUGGAGCACUGUAGAGGCUAAUGGAAUUCCGGGUGUAGCGGUGGAAUGCGUAGAGAUCCGGAAGAACACCGGUGGCGAAGGCGGUUAGCUGGGCAGUUGCUGACACUGAGGCGCGACAGCGUGGGGAGCAAACAGG
rnacentral:rRNA from 1 species